rnacentral:rRNA from 1 species
GACGAACGCUGGCGGCGUGCUUAACACAUGCAAGUGGUGCGACGAACCAGGGCUUGCCCUGGGGCAAAGCCGCGAACGGGUGAGUAACACGUGGGUAAUCUGCCCCGAUGACCGGGACAACCCGAGGAAACUCGGGCUAAUACCGGAUGAUGAGCCUUGGCGUAAGCCUUGUCUCUAAAGGAAGCUUCGGCCUCCGCAUUGGGAGGAGCCCGCGGCCCAUUAGCUUGUUGGUGGGGUAACGGCCUACCAAGGCGACGAUGGGUAGCUGGUCUGAGAGGACGAUCAGCCACACUGGGACUGAGACACGGCCCAGACUCCUACGGGAGGCAGCAGUGGGGAAUCUUGCGCAAUGCGCGAAAGCGUGACGCAGCAACGCCGCGUGGGGAAGACGGCCU